rnacentral:lncRNA from 1 species
CCUGGACAGACCAUGGAGUCUCCUGCACCAGGGGUUUUCAAAACUUAAGAGGCUGUUGGUCUAAUUUUGAAGUUAGCCCCAUGCUUCAAAGAGGACUGGACUAGAUGGCCUCCAAAUGACCUUUCAACCUAAAUUUUUCUGUGAUUCUGUGAUUCUAAGUGUAUAUGCAACUAGUAGUGUAAUCAGUUGAAAGAACACCAAUCACAUUUAUUCUACUUGGCUUCAGGCUGUUCCACCUGUCAGGUCUCAGACAUCAUUACUGUGCUUCUUCAGCCAAAAACUUCAUAUACUGUUUCCGAGCAGGAAAAUCAUCCGCUGGCCUGUUGUAUGCUGUCCAGACUGGUUCUCCAACAAAUAGCCUCAUUGCUUUCACGUAGUUAUUCUCAUCCAGUGUAAAUCGGUGAUAUAUGCCAGCAGGGAGGGUUAUCAUGUCUCCUUUCUCCAUGGAAAUCCGGAUCCAUUUGUCAUCCUUGUCCCGAACAUCAAAAUAGCCAGAUCCAUCUAAGAUGUAACGAAUUUCAUCAUCUAGGUGUAAAUGCUCUUCAUAAAAUGUUUUUAUCUUUUCUUCAUAAUUUGGCAGCUUGUCUUUAUGUAUAGUUACUAUAUCCAUCCAAGAAUAAUUUUCUGCUUCCCGAAUCUCUUUCAGACGUGGGUCAG